AGAGGUGAGCGGUGUUACCAGAUCCAUGUUAUGUUGAGUGUUGUUAAUUGAAUUGAUUUGGGGGGAAGUUUUGUUAAGUUGCAUAUUAAAUUAAGUUCACUGUAAAUAAAUUGCUCACCUCUGGAAACCUGAAAUGUCUGCGUAGUCUGCUUCCCUACCACCUUUCUUGACGUUCGAGUCUGACUACCCCACACCCCCACCCACGUGUGCAGAUGAGGACGCACCUCCACCUGUGGGAUCUGAAAACACUCGCAGCCACAAGUUCGGGCACAGCUGGCUCAGACUGCAGAGCUUCAGGCACAGACAUUAGUUUUGUAGUUGGUUUGUAGGUUGGAGUAACCGGGCCAUAAACUCUAAAAGCAGCGCAGGUCAGUCUCAGACACAUCUCCAGCCACCUCCACCUUUUCUUCAUCCACACCGCUGGACCUGUCUAACUCCGCCCAAACCAUCAGGCGUCCUGGGAACGCUGUCACGGACAAUCUGUCACCUCCAGAUGUUUCCCCUGCAGUCACCCACCUAUCCCCUUUAAAUGGCACAGCUGCUUUUACCACCGACCAGUCACUCGCCUCGGAGACCUCGUCAGGUGGAGGUGACUCCCUAGUCAGGACGGAGGUGGUCACGUCGUCGUACAAGUCAUGGUCCUCCAUCACUAGAAACCAGUCCAAGUCGAGCGGAGGUGAAGGCAUGACGCUGGGUUCCUCACGUGUGAGCACAGGUGGAGCAACAGACGUCAUAACUGAGUUACAACCUGAGGAUGGAUCCACACACCAAACAUCUGCAGCAUCCUCAGACAGCACCGCCUCAGCUGCACCCACCACCACCACUCCUCCACCGUCUGCAUCCAGCACCAGCACACAUAGACCACCCAGGACUCACGGCCAGACCCCACCCACACACACAGACUCCACCCUUCAUCCAAACAUCUCAGAGAGUCUGACUCAAGGAGUAUUAUCAACAGCACCAACAGGUGAUGCAGUCACUGCAAGUAGCACCUCAGCUCCAUCAGUCCCACAAACGAGUACAACAAACAUCAGCACCACCGCUGCUGUAACCACACCCUCUCGGAGCAGCAUAACAGCACCUGCUCCAACCACAGCCAUCAAAACCACAUCUCCUACAGCCGCCAGUAGCACCACCCCUGUCACAACCGCAGAGACUACAGUCGCACCACCCAUAACAACACCAGCAACUACACACACAACCAUCCCUCCGCCAGCUAGAACAGCCAGCUUGACACAUACCAUCCAAACGUCCACUGGUGCCUCCACUCCCGCUACAACUGCAGGAACCAUACCCAUACCCACAGCCACGAAGCCGUCUCUAACCACAGCCGUCAAAACCACACCUACCACUGCCAGUACCACCACCCCCACCACAACCACUGAGACUGCACCCAUACUAUUCAUAACAACAUCAGCAACUACACCUACAUCCAUGUCACCAUCUCAUACCACAGUCACCAAAACCACACCACCCACCACUUCCGGUGAUAGUUUCCCAGUUACAACUGCAGAUACUACAACCACCACGAGCAUCAUAACAACGUCCGCAACAACCACCCCACCUACGACUGCUACAGCAUCUCCUGCUACAACCACCCCACCUACGACUGCUACAGCAUCUCCUGCUACAACCACCCCACCUACGACUGCUACAGCAUCUCCUGC
ensembl:lncRNA